UAUGUACUCCCUCUGUCCCAAAAUUCUUGUCUUAGAUUUGUCUAUAAAUGAAUGUAUAUAAAUGCUAAAAUGUGACUAGAUACAUUCGUAUCUAGACAAAUUUAAGACAAUAAUUUUAGAACGGAGGAAGUAUAAU
rfam:Hordeum vulgare subsp. vulgare, WGS project CAJW01000000 data, contig: morex_contig_1610513